rnacentral:rRNA from 1 species
CAUAGACGCGAAACCUAGUGAUCUAGGCCUGUCCAGGCUGAAGCUGAGGUAAGACUCAGUGGAGGGCCGAACUCACCGCCGUUGAAAAGUUGGGAGAUGAGGCAGGUCUAGGGGUGAAAAGCCAAUCGAACUAGGAGAUAGCUCGUUCUCUCCGAAAUGCAUUUAGGUGCAGCCUUGACGUCAAGAUAUGUGGGGGUAGAGCUCUGUAUGGUCUAGGGGGCGUACUGCUUACCGAAAUCAAGCAAACUUCGAAUACCAUAUAUUAAUAGUCAGGAGUGAGUCCGCGGAUGACAAGGUCCGCGGACGAGAGGGGAACAGCCCAGACCGCCAGCUAAGGUCCCUAAUUAUGUCUAAGUGGGAAAGGAGGUGGAUAUUCACAGACAACCAGGAGGUUGGCUUAGAAGCAGCCAUGCCUUGAAAGAGUGCGUAACAGCUCACUGGUCGAGAGUAUCUGCGCCGAAGAUGUAACGGGGCUAAGACAUAAACCGAAGCUGCGGAGGCGUGACUGCACGCCUGGUAGGAGAGCGUUCUGUAGGCCGUUGAAGGAAUGCCGCAAGGCCGUUCUGGAGGUAUCAGAAGUGAGAAUGCAGGAAUGAGUAGCGAGAAGGCGGGCGAGAAUCCCGCCGGCCGGAAGUCCAAGGUUUCCAGGGGAAGGUUUGUCCGCCCUGGGGAAGUCGGGACCUAAGCAUAAGCAAAAAUGUGAUGGCGAAUGGAAAACAGGUUAAUAUUCCUGUACCGCUGUUAUCGCCUGAGAGACGGAGUGACGCAGGAAGGUAUGCGGGAAGGCUGACGGAAUAGCCUUUCUAAGGGAGUAGCAUGGGCAUGCAGGAAAAUCCGCGUGCCUAAAUGUGAGACCUGACGGGUAAGUGCAUCUUGCAUAAGCCGCAGAUCCUACACUGCCGAGAAAAACUUCUAUCGAUGAGAACCAGCGCCCGUACUGUAAACCGACACAGGUGGACAGAGUGAGAAACUUAAGGCCGACAGGAUAACUCUAGCUAAGGAACUCUGCAAAAUAGCCCCGUAACUUCGGGAGAAGGGGUGCCUGACAUACCUGAGAGGAGAAGCGCCUCAAGGGGAAACAGGCCGCAGUGAAGAGUCCCAAGCAACUGUUUACCAAAAACACAGGUCUAUGCUAAGCUGGAAGGCGACGUAUAUGGGCUGACACCUGCCCAGUGCCGGAAGGUUAAGAGGAGGACUGAGAGGUCCGAAUUGAAGCCCCGGUGAACGGCGGCCGUAACUAUAACGGUCCUAAGGUAGCGAAAUUCCUUGUCGGGUAAGUUCCGACCUGCACGAAUGGUGAAAUGAUUUGGGAGCUGUCUUGGCUGGAGACCUGGUGAAGUUGUAAUGCCGGUGAAGAUACCGGCUACCUGCAGUAGGACGGAAAGACCCCGUGGAGCUUUACUGCAGUCUGGCAUUGGGUUUUGGCUGCGUGUGUAUAGGAUAGUUGGGAGACUGUGAAGCUGAGGCGUCAGUUUCAGCCGAGUCGCCGUUGGAAUACCAACCAUACGCCGUUGAAAUUCUAAUCCGGAAGCGGAGACAGUGCUAGAUGGGCAGUUUGACUGGGGCGGUCGCCUCCAAAAGAGUAACGGAGGCGUUCAAAGGUUCCCUCAGGCUGGAUGGAAAUCAGCCCAGGAGUGCAAACGCAUAAGGGAGCUUGACUGCAAGACUGACGGGUCGAGCAGGCACGAAAGUGGGAGUUAGUGAUCCGGCGGUUCCGCAUGGAAGGACCGUCGCUCAACGGAUAAAAGCUACCCCGGGGAUAACAGGCUGAUACUUCCCAAGAGUCCAUAUCGACGGAAGUGUUUGGCACCUCGAUGUCGGCUCGUCUCAUCCUGGGGCUGGAGAAGGUCCCAAGGGUUGGGCUGUUCGCCCAUUAAAGAGGCACGCGAGCUGGGUUCAGAACGUCGUGAGACAGUUCGGUCCCUAUCCACUGCAGGCG